rnacentral:rRNA from 1 species
CCUACGGGUGGCAGCAGUGGGGGAUAUUGCACAAUGGGGGAAACCCUGAUGCAGCAACGCCGCGUGUGGGAAGAAGGUUUUCGGAUUGUAAACCACUGUUCGUGGUGAAGAUAAUGACGGUAUCUAACGAAUAAGCACCGGCGAACUCCGUGCCAGCAGCCGCGGUAAUACGGAGGGUGCAAGCGUUACUCGGAAUCACUGGGCGUAAAGGGCGCGUAGGCGGGAUAGCAAGUCAGAUGUGAAAUCCUAUGGCUUAACCAUAGAACUGCAUUUGAAACUGUUAUUCUAGAGUAGGGGAGAGGUAGGCGGAAUUCUUGGUGUAGGGGUAAAAUCCGUAGAGAUCAAGAGGAAUUCUCAUUGCGAAGGCGACCUGCUAGAACAUAACUGACGCUGAUGCGCGAAAGCGUGGGGAGCAAACAGGAUUAGAUACCCGAGUAGUC